UCUGUCCUUGGAAACAAGAAGAAGGUUUAUGACAAACCAGGCCAGAUAUAUAAUUGUCCAAAGAAAGGGGAUGGUGCGAGGAUUUUUUAUGAGACCCUCCGCGUACAAAUACCGUUGAGUUCGAUGGCUGAAAUAUGAUUGUUGAAGCGUGGCUUGUUAUCAAAACAUGAGGCAAUGGAGUUUUUGGAAAAGAAAUUGAAGCAGAAACUACUGAGGCAGAAACUGAAGCAAGUAGCAAUUAAGAAACAGAAACUAAAGCUGAAACAAAAACUAAGCCCACGGAAUCAAUCAGAAAGUAAGAAACGGCAACUCGACGUUGAUGACGAAUAUGGGUCAACAAGCUAUGACGACGACCACUACUACGACAGUAUCCCUAUUAUUGAAAGUUCUAAGAUUAGAAACAGACUAAAGCAAGAGGACCUCCAAGAUAGUGCAUCAGAGGGUGACGACGACGACGAUGAUGUAACCAUCGGCAUUCUGAAAAUGAACAACAGACUUAAAUGAGAAACUUCUUAAUCUCAUCUCUCGUUUUUUUGUGCGUUUAGAGUUUUUUUC